rnacentral:rRNA from 1 species
AUUGAACGCUGGCGGCAUGCCUUACACAUGCAAGUCGAACGGCAGCACGGGUGCUUGCACCUGGUGGCGAGUGGCGAACGGGUGAGUAAUACAUCGGAACGUACCUUAUCGUGGGGGAUAACGCAGCGAAAGCUGUGCUAAUACCGCAUACGCCCUGAGGGGGAAAGCGGGGGAUCGCAAGACCUCGCGCGAUUAGAGCGGCCGAUGCCUGAUUAGCUUGUUGGUGGGGUAAAAGCCGACCAAGGCGACGAUCAGUAGCUGGUCGGAGAGGGCGAUCAGCCACACUGGGACGGAGACACGGCCCAGAAUCCUACGGGAGGCAGGAGUGGGGAAUUUUGGACAAUGGGGGCAACCCCGAUCCAGCAAUGCCGCGUGAGGGAAGAAGGCCUUCGGGUUGUAAAGCUCUUUUGUCAGGGAAGAAACACCGGCUCUAACACAGUCCGGGAAUGACGGUACCUGAAGAAUAAGCACCGGCUAACUACGUGCCAGCCGCCGCAGUAA